AACAACAGGUCUGUGAUGUCCUUAGAUAUACUAGGCUGCACGCGUGCUACACUGAUAUGUAAAACGAGUGCUUAAAUUUAUAUCUGUGCUUAGGUGUUAAAGCCUAUGUUUCAGUAUAUAUUUUUCCUCCACUGAAAAGUGUAGGUAAUCUUUAUCAAUACAUAUCGUGAUGGGGAUAGAUUAUUGCAAUUAUUAAUCUUGAACGAGGAAUGCCUAGUAAGCAUGAUUCAUCAGAUUGUGCUGACUACGUCCCUGCCCUUUGUACACACCGCCCGUCGCUCCUACCGAUUGAAAGAUAUGAUGAAUUGUUUGGACAAGAAAAUAGAAAUUUUAUUUUUAUUUUUUUGGAAGGACCGUAAAUCCUAUCUUUUAAAGGAAGGAGAAGUCGUAACAAGGUUUCCGUAGGUGAACCUGCGGAAGGAUCAUUA
rnacentral:rRNA from 1 species